CCUCUAUUUUUUGGCAUACAUGUAUUUGCUAAGAACUUGUGUAUGUAAUGUACGGAGCUAGAACAAAGCCAGUGCUAUGUCUUCAGUACAAGUGUGUGUUAUCGUCUGCUGGUCCUAUCCUCAAUCGCUGGCACACUU
ensembl:snoRNA